UCUUAUUUUAAUAUGAAGUCGAGGUAUCUUGACGGCGAGGACCUCAAAGCCUUUAGUGAUGGAAUCCUAGUGUAGGAGCAAUAAUGUAUUAGGAAUCUCCUAGCUUCUAGAGAAAUUAAGUGCCUUUACCUUGUCUCAAAAAUAGUCUGUCUCACCAAAGAAAGGCGCACGACCCCACUUACCUCGUAGGGGUACCCUUCGUGGGUCCUCUAUGGAUGGUUCAAAAAAAUAAGGAAAAUGAGGAAAGGCAUCACAUGACCUCGCGGGUUCAGCCUUACGGGCCUGACC
rnacentral:lncRNA from 1 species